CCUUAAAUAUUUAAAAAAAAUAAAUAAUGAAUUUAUGAUUCACGUUAUUGCCAAAAAUCUUAUUUAUUGGAUUAUCUAUUCUAGUUGAAAUCAUAAUCAUCAUGUAAAUAUUAUAAGGACAAAUGAAUAAAAAUGCAGAACGAAUUGCAUACUCUCAAAACUAUUUUCGACUCCAAUAACAUACCUGUCUCGAUAGAGUGGUUAGAAGAAUGUAUUAAUUGGUGUAAGAGUGAAACGCUUAGUCCGAGCUAUACACUUGAUCAACUGAAAAAUUCAAUACAUGACCAAUGGCUCAAUUUGGACUUACGUGAUAUAGAAACAUCAGUUUUACCAUCUGGUUUAUCAGAAAAGAAGUAUAUGGUCCUCAAUGGUAACUAUUCCUUACAAGUAAUGAAAGUUGUGGAUAUUUCAAAACCAAAAUAUUGGCAACUACAACAGAUAAGAAAAGAGAAUAUCUUAACUAGGCCUUCAGGAAAUGAAGUCAGGGAAACAAUAGGUACUGGCAAAAGAGUACUGCAAGUCACGUUGACUGAUGGAGUUCAAUAUGUGGAAGCAAUGGAAUAUAAACCAAUACAGUUGUUAAAUAUCAAUUUGACUCCUGGCAUUAAAAUUAGAUUAAGUGGGCCUGUAACAAUAAGGAGAGGCCGUUUGAUGUUGCAAGAGCAAAAUAUUAGGAUACUUGGUGGUGAGGUAGAGGAACUGCUGAUACCAAAUGCAGCAGAAAACGUUUUAGCUAGUGCACUCAAUUUGCCCCUUAAUAAUAAUCCAAAUAAUAUUGACUCGAAAUUGUUGACAGUCGAACAAGAAUCUGAGAAUAUUACAAACAGAAGUAUCCCGAGAGUUUCUAAUUCAGAAAGCAUAAGAGAAGUGCAAAGUUCUCGGAUUCCAAACAAUUAUAGUGUUGCCAGUACAGUAAGGCAAGAUGAUUUCCCUACAGAUGAAGACAUGGAGAUGAUGCUGUUGGAGGAAAAUAAUCUGAGAAAUAAAAAAACAGAAAGAAUUGAUAUUCCCAAGAAUAUCCCCAGUAUAAGCAAAUCUGGAGAACCAACAGACGAAGAAAUCGCUUUACUCAUGGAGAUUGAAGAUGAAUAUGUGGGAAAUAGUAGAAAUGCUUUCAAUAAAACGCCGGAUUUGUUUGAAGACGACUUUGACGCAGAUCAAAUCGAUCACUUGCUUGAAGUUUCGAAAAGUAAGGAAAAUACUGAUAUUCAAAGCGAAGAUGUUGGAAGUAAAAAUUUGGUUCCAAGUUCCAGUAAUCAGGCAAAAAAACGGGAAACAAAAAGUGAUCUGAUUACAGAGCCUCCAAAGAAAAUUAAAGUACCGGAAGUGAACAAUCUAGAUUCUAGUCUAUUUGGAGAUUUUGUGAAUGAAGACUUGUUUGCUGAUUUGGACUUGGAUGAUUUAGAGAAGAGAGUUGAUACCAAAUCUACCGUAAUAAAUGUGGUUGAACUAAAAACCAAAAUUCGUGAAGGUUUCGUGGGUUCCUGUAGAAUAAGAGCUAAAUUUAAAGGUAUAGAAAGAAAAGUCACUGUACAAGGGGAAGAAUACAAGGCUGAAAUGCGAAUUGAAGAUUCUACUGGGGAUUUAAUUGUCCAAGUUCAUAGCGAUGUUAUUUCCAAAUGGGCGGGUCUCACACCUGUGGAAAUGUUGAAUUUGAGAAAGAGUAUAUUAGCAGGGAUGGUUGAAUAUAAGAACAAAGUUCAGAGUAUUCUUCAAUUGAUAAUGAAAAAAAUAUUAGAAGUGGAUAACUUGAUGGAAAUAGAUCUGAAUGGACCUGAUUCUAAACCAGUUAUGAAGGAAGUGUUCUAUUAGAGACGUCCGAAGCAUCAGUUGCUCCAAAUCCUACCAUACGGAAGAAUUAUAUUGCAUAUUUGCUCCAUACUGAAAAGUAUCCCUUGAGUUCUUCUAUGAGCCAAAACUUGCCACCAAACCUGCCAAGGUAUAUUAAUGAGUGCCAGCUUUUGUGGGGUUAUAGGCGCCCCCUAACAUUCAUAUCCGUAAAUAAAAUAUUAAGGUCUUCAUUUGCAGCAAAAUUUUAAUCCAAAAGAAAUGUAAAUACAUUUGACAAUACAAUAUACACAUGUAGAAAAAAAAUCGAUAUCGAUCAAUAAAUGCUUCAUUUGUGAAUGUGUCAAAGCAACAUGGAUUAAAAGAGUAAAUUGGUCCGCAAAAAUCAAUAAUCACAGCUAAAAUCUUCAAUCUUAAACAUAAGUCUAACAUUACAAGCGUUAAUGAACAUAACAGAAACGCCUCAUCAUUUUGUGAUGUAAACGGAAUAAAAGUUUCUCACUUUCGAUUGAAAUAAACAGUUUCAAAUCAAUUUCUUUCACAAUAUAUACAAAUUUUCUCACAUUUUGGUUUUCAUUUCAAGUUCACAAAGAUGUGAAGGGAAUUUACAGCACAUCACAACUGUGACAUUCACGAUAUUAACCUAAUACCACAGUAAUACAUAAAUACAAAUAAAAUAAUAAAAA